GUCGAACGGAAAGGCCCUGCUUUUGUGGGGUGCUCGAGUGGCGAACGGGUGAGUAACACGUGAGUAACCUGCCCUUGGAUUUGGGAUAACUUCAGGAAACUGGGGCUAAUACCGGAUAGGAGCUCCUGCUGCAUGGUGGGGGUUGGAAAGUUUCGGCGGUUGGGGAUGGGAUCGCGGCUUAUCAGCUUGUUGGUGGGGUAGUGGCUUACCAAGGCUUUGACGGGUAGCCGGCCUGAGAGGGUGACCGGCCACAUUGGGGAUGAGAUACGGCCCAGGAUCCUACGGGAGGCAGCAGUGGGGAAACAUUGCACAAUGGGCGGAAGCCUGAUGCAGCAACGCCGCGUGCGGGAUGACGGCCUUCGGGUUGUAAACCGCUUUCGCCUGUGACGAAGCGUGAGUGACGGUAAUGGGUAAAGAAGCACCGGCUAACUACGUGCCAGCAGCCGCGGUGAUACGUAGGGUGCGAGCGUUGUCCGGAUUUAUUGGGCGUAAAGGGCUCGUAGGUGGUUGAUCGCGUCGGAAGUGUAAUCUUGGGGCUUAACCCUGAGCGUGCUUUCGAUACGGGUUGGAUUGAGGAAGGUAGGGGAGAAUGGAAACUCCUGGUGGAGCGGUGGAAACGCGCAGAUAUCAGGAGGAACACCAGUGGCGAAGGCGGUUCUCUGGGCCUUUCCUGACGCUGAGGAGCGAAAGCGUGGGGAGCGAACAGGCUUAGAUACCCUG
rnacentral:rRNA from 1 species